UGUUUGUUUUUGUAGACGUUGAAAUCCAGAGACAAGAUAACUUAAUUCUUUUGAGACUGAUAACUCAAACCAACUUUGGAGUUGUCUGAUUUGGAGAGUCAUCAUUCUUGGUCUUCCCUCUUAAAGGCCACUGAUGAAGAGCAGGCGGUGACUGGGAGGAAUGCUGGUCAAAGAAGAUAUUGUCCUUUCCCCUAAACUGAUGCAGCGGUUUUAAAGGAGGACACUUCCCUGGA